rnacentral:lncRNA from 1 species
GGUCUCUACUCUCGACAGCAUCAGCCGCUCUUAACUGCCUAUUUGAGGAGCAGCAGUCGUGAAGAAGCACACUAAUAUUCCUUUGCAGCAAGACGGCAGGACGUGAGCCCAGGCUCCUCCAGCUUGGUGACAUGAUAAGGAGAACAGCAGUACCAGACCGUGGCCAGGCCAGAUAAGCCAUGUGGAGUGGGCGGGCUGUUUUUCUCAAACUACUCCUUUUGUAGUAUGUAGCCCAACUAACUCCUGAGGCCCUUACUGCGCAGCUACGCUGCUUUUUAGUUAAAACCCAGAACCCCAGCAACAAACUGCAAAGAAAAAUGGAGGGCUUAGAAAAGGACCAUCCUUACUCGGGAUCUUCCCAGCAGCCUCCACCAGCCAGAGAGGAAUACACUGUGCCAGGGGCCAUCACGCACCGCCUGCGAGACCGAGAGCUGCUGAGGAAAAGGAAAGCAGAAGCACAGGAGAAAGAUACUGUCCAGUGGGUUCUGGGAGAGCGGGGUAAGAGCACAGGGCCCAAGAGGGGCCGAGGAGCUGGGAGAAGAAGAGGCCGACAGCAGGGUACAGAGCCAGAGCCUCAGCCUGACGUGCAAGAGGAGGUGGAGAAGGAGCCCCCAGAGAAAGCACAGGCAUCUCCAGGGCACCAUGAGGAGGAGCCCGCCCUGUCUGUGGCUCAAGAGCUGUCUGGUGGGACUCAGCAGGAGGCGGUAGAGGGCCCCCCUGCUCAGGAUAUUCUGCAUCCAGCAGAGCUAGGGGAAGCACCAAAGUCAGAAGAAGCAGGAAUAUCAGAGGCUUUGAAUAUCCCUCUGGAAAAUGACCAUACAGAUAAUGGAUACUACCCCUCAGUUUUAUUUUGAUCUUUUUUUCCUUCCCAUUGCUUUGGUCAAAGUCCAGCCACCGUAGAAUGAUUUAGAUCUGCUAUUCCUGUGUGAGCAAUAAAAACUAAACACUUGCACCA